GUUUCAGCAGCCGCGGUAAUACAGAGGGUGCGAGCGUUGUCCGGAAUCACUGGGCGUAAAGGGCGUGUAGGCGGCCUGUUAAGCCGCGUGUGAAAGCCCGGGGCUCAACCCCGGAACGGCACGCGGGACUGGCGGGCUCGAGCGUGGUAGAGGCGAGUGGAAUUCCUGGUGUAGCGGUGGAAUGCGUAGAGAUCAGGAAGAACACCGGAGGCGAAGGCGGCUCGCUGGGCCAUGGCUGACGCUGAGGCGCGAAAGCGUGGGGAGCAAACAGGAUUAGAUACCCUGGUAGUCC
rnacentral:rRNA from 1 species